CCUACGGGUGACAGCAGUGAGGAAUAUUGGUCAAUGGGCGCGAGCCUGAACCAGCCAAGUAGCGUGAAGGAUGACUGCCCUACGGGUUGUAAACCUCUUUUGCCGGGGAGCAACGGGCGCCACGUGUGCCGUCACUGAGAGUACCCGGAGAAAAAGCAUCGGCUAACUCCGUGCCAGCAGCCGCGGUAAUACGGAGGAUGCGAGCGUUAUCCGGAUUUAUUGGGUUUAAAGGGUGCGUAGGCGGAUCGUUAAGUCAGUGGUCAAAUUGAGGGGCUCAACCCCUUCCCGCCAUUGAAACUGGCGUUCUUGAGUGGAAGAGAAGUAUGCGGAAUGCGUGGGGUAGCGGUGAAAUGCAUAGAUAUCACGCAGAACCCCGAUUGCGAAGGCAGCAUGCCGGCUUCCGACUGACGCUGAAGCACGAAAGCGUGGGGAUCGAACAGGAUUAGAUACCCUAGUAGUC
rnacentral:rRNA from 1 species